UGCUAGCGGGAGAGAGGCGGACAGAAGUCAAGGCGCUGCUGAGGAGCCCCGCGGACCAGAGAGCAGGAGGCAGCUCGACAGCAAGCAUGCUCGGCCGGGAACCAGAGUCGAAGGAGGGAAAAUGAAUGGGGAACGAGCGGUCCGAAGCAACAAGGGUGACGGGCGGACAGCGCUAAGCACAGCGACUUGAAGAGCUGCAAGACUGAGACGGGCAGAGCCGAAGGACCGCGGAGCGAGCGCUAGAGGCAGUGAACAAGUUGUAAAACCUGCUCAGUAAUCCAAAGCCCUCUUCCGAUGUGGCCAAGGAAGAUAGUGGCAAAGACAGAGCCCCCAGAGGGUGCAGCCCUAAUCACAGAGACCUUGAACUAGUGGGGCCUUCCCGGGGGAACAAAGUUGGACCUGAUGGAGGACAUUCCUCAUCCCCUAGGUACUCGCUGCCUCCACUGUCACUCUGGGCUGGGGAAGGGAUGACAGGAGGCCUCCGUUACAUGGCAGAGGGCCUAAAUGGGGAUGGAAAUGUUGGCCCCUGGAAAGAAAGGCCCAGGAUCUCCUCACA